rnacentral:rRNA from 1 species
GGUAAUACGGAGGGUGCAAGCGUUAAUCGGAAUUACUGGGCGUAAAGCGCACGCAGGCGGUCUGUCAAGUCGGAUGUGAAAUCCCCGGGCUCAACCUGGGAACUGCAUUCGAAACUGGCAGGCUAGAGUCUUGUAGAGGGGGGUAGAAUUCCAGGUGUAGCGGUGAAAUGCGUAGAGAUCUGGAGGAAUACCGGUGGCGAAGGCGGCCCCCUGGACAAAGACUGACGCUCAGGUGCGAAAGCGUGGGGAGCAAACAGGAUUAGAUACCCUGGUAGUCCACGCCGUAAACGAUGUCGAUUUGGAGGUUGUGCCCUUGAGGCGUGGCUUCCGGAGCUAACGCGUUAAAUCGACCGCCUGGGGAGUACGGCCGCAAGGUUAAAACUCAAAUGAAUUGACGGGGGCCCGCACAAGCGGUGGAGCAUGUGGUUUAAUUCGAUGCAACGCGAAGAACCUUACCUGGUCUUGACAUCCACAGAACUUAGCAGAGAUGCUUUGGUGCCUUCGGGAACUGUGAGACAGGUGCUGCAUGGCUGUCGUCAGCUCGUGUUGUGAAAUGUUGGGUUAAGUCCCGCAACGAGCGCAACCCUUAUCCUUUGUUGCCAGCGGUCCGGCCGGGAACUCAAAGGAGACUGCCAGUGAUAAACUGGAGGAAGGUGGGGAUGACGUCAAGUCAUCAUGGCCCUUACGACCAGGGCUACACACGUGCUACAAUGGCAUAUACAAAGAGAAGCGACCUCGCGAGAGCAAGCGGACCUCAUAAAGUAUGUCGUAGUCCGGAUUGGAGUCUGCAACUCGACUCCAUGAAGUCGGAAUCGCUAGUAAUCGUAGAUCAGAAUGCUACGGUGAAUACGUUCCCGGGCCUUGUACACACCGCCCGUCACACCAUGGGAGUGGGUUGCAAAAGAAGUAGGUAGCUUAACCUUCGGGAGGGCGCUUACCACUUUGUGAUUCAUGACUGGGGUGAAGUCGUAACAAGGUAACCGUAGGGGAACCUGCGGUUGGAUCACCUCCUUACCUUAAAGAA